AAAUUGAAGAGUUUGAUCAUGGCUCAGAUUGAACGCUGGCGGCAGGCCUAACACAUGCAAGUCGAGCGGAAACGAGUUAUCUGAACCUUCGGGGAACGAUAACGGCGUCGAGCGGCGGACGGGUGAGUAAUGCCUAGGAAAUUGCCCUGAUGUGGGGGAUAACCAUUGGAAACGAUGGCUAAUACCGCAUGAUGCCUACGGGCCAAAGAGGGGGACCUUCGGGCCUCUCGCGUCAGGAUAUGCCUAGGUGGGAUUAGCUAGUUGGUGAGGUAAGGGCUCACCAAGGCGACGAUCCCUAGCUGGUCUGAGAGGAUGAUCAGCCACACUGGAACUGAGACACGGUCCAGACUCCUACGGGAGGCAGCAGUGGGGAAUAUUGCACAAUGGGCGCAAGCCUGAUGCAGCCAUGCCGCGUGUGUGAAGAAGGCCUUCGGGUUGUAAAGCACUUUCAGUCGUGAGGAAGGUAGUGUAGUUAAUAGCUGCAUUAUUUGACGUUAGCGACAGAAGAAGCACCGGCUAACUCCGUGCCAGCAGCCGCGGUAAUACGGAGGGUGCGAGCGUUAAUCGGAAUUACUGGGCGUAAAGCGCAUGCAGGUGGUUUGUUAAGUCAGAUGUGAAAGCCCGGGGC
rnacentral:rRNA from 1 species